UCAAACUUGGUCAUUUAGAGGAAGUAAAAGUCGUAACAAGGUUUCCGUAGGUGAACCUGCGGAAGGAUCAUUGUUGGAAUUUUGAUAUCAAAAAAAAAAACUAAGUUUUUUUUUCACGCCCAAUAUAAGAGAAAUAAGAGGGGAAACCAAAAACGUGGUUGCCUGACAUAUUUUAUGUGUUAUCUGGAGGACAAGAAAAAAAAAACAACUUUCAACAACGGAUCUCUUGGCUCUCACAUCGAUGAAGAACGCAGC
rnacentral:misc_RNA from 1 species